GUUCGGCUGGGCCAUCGACGUAACAAAAGAGCGAUGGGUGAGCAGUAUCCACACUCCAGGCCAUCUUCACUGUUCUCAUCACUGCCAAACCAAUCAUCUACAUAACAAACAAAAUGUAGCAGUAAACCAUCUUCAAGCGCUUUGUAAAAACUACACGAAAGAAACAACUUGGUGCUGCUGUCGAUUCAACUGAAAUUCAACUGAUGAAUAGAGUCGCCUGUCCUCUUAUUUAUACACGCCAGCAUCCAUCCAGCAGAUACUUGCAAUCUUUAUUGGAACGAAGAAUAUGUAACACCCUUUGAGAUUGACCAAGACCGACGGACAUGCACACCACGAACUCAAUUCUUCGUCGUUGCGUACGUUUCUUUACCGUUAAGCGAACGAACUGACCGUCCUCAACCCAAAGUCUAUUUUAUGGGGUUUCAAUUUACAGUACUACAGCAGUCAGCAGCUUAUUUGUGGUAGACGUCAUUCUUGCGUAAAUAUCUAAUUGUUAUAGACAGACCACCGGACGCUCCCACCACUACUCUAAUGACCUUAAUCCCCGACAGUGUCCAAUUAUUAUUCUCAAUAAAUAACAAGACGGUGAUCAAGUGAA